GGCCCUGUAGUUUAAUGGAUAAAAUAAAAAUUUCCUAAAUUUUAGUUACAGGUUCGAUUCCUGUCGGGGCUA
rnacentral:tRNA from 1 species